CCUCAGCCUCCCAAAGUGCUGGGAUUACAAGCAUGAGCCACUGAGCCUGGUCUGAAGUUUGUUUUUUAUAGACAACCUAUAGUUAGGUUAUGCUUUUUAAUCUACUGUGCCUGUGUUCCUUUUACUUGGUGUAUGUAGACCACUUACAUUUAAUGUAAUUAUUUAUAUGUUAGGGCUAAAGGCUGCCAUUUUAUUUUGUGGGUAUUUAUUCGCUUGUUUGUUGGCUCUGUUUUUAAUUUCUUUUCUUUUCUUUCCUGUAUUCCUGUGUGUUAGGUGAAAGUUUUUAGUCUUCCAUUUUGUUUUAUAUGUGUUUUUUGAGUAUACCUGUUUAUAUUACAUUUGUUGUGGCUGUUCACAUGUGUGUGUAUACAUAUGCACACAUGUUAUCAAAGUCUACUGAUGUCAUCAUUUUACCAGUUCAAGUGAAGUGUAGAAAACUAACCUCCCUUUGUCUUCCAUUGCCCUUCCCUAUUUAUAAUAUAAUUUCAUUAAAUAUUUCUUCUAUAUACAUUUAGAAACACAUUAGACAGUAUUAUAAUUGGGCUUUAACCGUCAAAUAUAAUUUAGAAUACUUAUGGAAAGGAGUCUAUUAUGUUUGCCCAUACUUUUGCUUAUCAUGUUCUUCUUUUCUGAUGUUCCAUGAUUCUGUUUAUUAUUGUUUCCUUUUUUAGAGAACCUUCUUUAGCCCUUCUUUCAGGGUAGGUCUGCUGGUAACAAAUUCUCUUAGUUUUCCCUCUGCUGAGGAUAUCUUGAUUUCUCCUUCAUUUCUGAGGAUAUUUACUUAGGAUAUAAGAUUCUGGGUUGAUGGUUCUUUUCUUUAAGGAAUUGAAAAAUAUUGUGCCACUUUAUCCUGGUUUUUGUAAAGUUAAAUUUUUAAAUAAGCAGGAGGCCAUUAACUUGAGACUGUUUUAAUUACUAAUGAACCACAGCCUAACAGUAUGUAAACAAACUAAAAGCUAACUUAGAAGUAUAACAAACAGCCAAGUUUCAGCCAGUCACAGGCAGUUAGCUGAUCAGACUAUGCUCAAAUAAGGCAAAUACUCAUUACACCAUACUCAAAUAAAGCAGAUGGCCAGUUGUAGGCAAUCAAGUGAUUUCAUGACUUUGCUUCUGUGUCUGGCCUAUAAAAUUUACUACUCAUACUACUGGGCAGAGGUCUCUGAACUUCUACUGGUUCUGAGUGCUGCCUGAUUCAUGAAUUGCCCUUUGCUGAAAUAAACGCAAUUGAGUUUGUCUACACUGUUUCAUUUAUCAGUGAUUUUCGAUGAGAAGCCUGCUGUAAUUCAAACUGUUUUUGUCUAUAGGUUAGGUGUUAUUCUCUCAGUGCUUUCAAGAUAUUUUUUUGUCUUUAGAUUUUAGAAGUUUGACUAUGAGGUGUCUUGGUGUGGAUUUCUUUUGCUUUAUCCUGUUUGGGAUUUACUUAGUUAUUUGAAUUUGUAGGCUGUCUUUUGC